rnacentral:lncRNA from 1 species
UACCCAGACAUCACUUAAAUGCAAGCAUCAUGAUAUAAUGAAGAGCAGGAACACUCACUAUACACAGGUAUUCACAAACAUCUCAUGUUUCAGGGGCCCAGUGACUCUGCCUGUCAGCUUUUGGUGUGAUUCGUGUGGAGUAAGGACCGGAGGAAAGAGAAUGAUAUAGAAGAAUUCAGGGCACUUCAAAAUUAUGAAUACAGAAUACACAGAGAAAUUUUGGUAGUCAUUUCUGCCAUAUGAAAAGGAAACUAGAGAGAUGAAGGAGAUGUAAGGCCUGGAGAAAUGUGGAUGAGAGGACAGAAUGC